rnacentral:rRNA from 1 species
AUUGAACGCUGGCGGCUGGCUUAACACAUGCAAGUCGAGCGGAGAUGAGGUGCUUGCACCUUAUCUUAGCGGCGGACGGGUGAGUAAUGCUUAGGAAUCUGCCUAUUAGUGGGGGACAACAUUCCGAAAAGAAUGCUAAUACCGCAUACGUCCUACGGGAGAAAGCAGGGGAUCUUCGGACCUUGCGCUAAUAGAUGAGCCUAAGUCGGAUUAGCUAGUUGGUGGGGUAAAGGCCUACCAAGGCGACGAUCUGUAGCGGGUCUGAGAGGAUGAUCCGCCACACUGGGACUGAGACACGGCCCAGACUCCUACGGGAGGCAGCAGUGGGGAAUAUUGGACAAUGGGGGGAACCCUGAUCCAGCCAUGCCGCGUGUGUGAAGAAGGCCUUAUGGUUGUAAAGCACUUUAAGCGAGGAGGAGGCUACUGAGACUAAUACUCUUGGAUAGUGGACGUUACUCGCAGAAUAAGCACCGGCUAACUCUGUGCCAGCCGCCGCGGUAACAC